rnacentral:rRNA from 1 species
AUUGAACGCUGGCGGCAUGCUUUACACAUGCAAGUCGAACGGUAACAGGCCGCAAGGUGCUGACGAGUGGCGAACGGGUGAGUAAUGCAUCGGAACGUGCCCAGUCGUGGGGGAUAACGCAGCGAAAGCUGCGCUAAUACCGCAUACGAUCUAUGGAUGAAAGCGGGGGACCGUAAGGCCUCGCGCGAUUGGAGCGGCCGAUGUCAGAUUAGGUAGUUGGUGGGGUAAAGGCUCACCAAGCCGACGAUCUGUAGCUGGUCUGAGAGGACGACCAGCCACACUGGGACUGAGACACGGCCCAGACUCCUACGGGAGGCAGCAGUGGGGAAUUUUGGACAAUGGGCGCAAGCCUGAUCCAGCAAUGCCGCGUGCAGGAAGAAGGCCUUCGGGUUGUAAACUGCUUUUGUACGGAACGAAACGGUCCUGGUUAAUACCUGGGGCUAAUGACGGUACCGUAAGAAUAAGCACCGGCUAACUACGUGCCAGCCGCCGCUGUAA